AUUGAACGCUGGCGGCAGGCCUAACACAUGCAAGUCGAGCGGAUGAAGGGUGCUUGCUCCUGGAUUCAGCGGCGGACGGGUGAGUAAUGCCUAGGAAUCUGCCUGGUAGUGGGGAUAACGUCCGGAAACGGGCGCUAAUUCCGCAUACGUCCUGAGGGAGAAAGUGUGGGAUCUUCGGACCUCACGCUAUCAAUUGAGCCUAGGUCGGAUUAGCUAGUUGGUGGGGUAAAGGCCUACCAAGGCGACGAUCCGUAACUGGUCUGAGAGGAUGAUCAGUCACACUGGAACUGAGACACGGUCCAGACUCCUACGGGAGGCAGCAGUGGGGAAUAGUGGACAAUGGGCGAAAGCCUGAUCCAGCCAGGCCGCGUGUGUGAAGAAGGUCUUCGGAUUGUAAAGCACUUUAAGUGGGGAGGAAGGGCAGUAAGUUAAUACCUUGCUGUUUUGACGUUACCAACAGAAGAAGCACCGGCUAACUUCGUG
rnacentral:rRNA from 1 species